GUCGGUGGCCACAGCGGAGGAGACACGCCCGGCAUCCAUCCCGAACCCGGCAGCUAAGCCCUCCAGCGCCCCAGGUACUGCACCCCCACGGGUGUGGGAGACACGGACACCGCCGACC
rfam:Actinopolyspora erythraea strain YIM90600 genomic scaffold Scaffold4, whole genome shotgun sequence.